GGGUAACACACGGACUUGCGUGGGGUCUGAGCUCCCCCGUGGGAAUGAGCCAUCUCCCUCUCUGCGUAUCACAGGCCGGUUCACGACGGCUGACCGGGGCCCGGCUUCAAUGCUCUCCUAGCCCCACUGACCUAUGAAACCAAAGCCAGAUAAGAUACCACUGCAGAGCACAGCGCGCUCAGAGGAGAUGUCUUUCAAGCAAUGCUUCCCAGAUAUUUUUGUGUGCAACUCAGUGCAAGGAACACGUCUUCCACCUCUACCCAGUAACACACGACCUGGGCACACGCAACUGAAACACACGGCCCGGGCACACGCAACUAAAACACCACGACCCGGGCGCACGCAACUGAAACAAACAUUCAUGAAAUGAUAGCUAACCUUACUCUGGGCCAUAGGUACAAUCUGGAAUCUUCUGCUGUUUCAUUUGUUAGAAUACUGGACAUAGCUUACUAGCAGGCCACAACUCGUGGUUUGAGAAACACUGGCUAGGGGCCUUCCAAACAGGGAGAGAGACUAAACACGCAUUUUCACCUCUCCCUCCAGAGAGCCUUUUUUUUUCUUUUUUUUUGGUCUUUUUAGGGCCGCACCUGAGGCAUCUGGAAGUUCCCAGGCUAGGGGUCCAAUCGGAGCUGCAGCCUCCAGCCUCUACCACAGCCACAGCAACACAGGAUCCAAGCCACUUCUGGGACCUAUACCACAGCUCACAGCAACGCCAGAUCUUUAACCCACUGAGUGAGACCAGGGAUCGUACCCGCAUCUUCAUGGAUACGAGUCGGGUUCAUUACCGCUGAGCCACAGUGGGAACCCCAGAGAGCCUAUUAAACUGGUCAUAAAGGAACAAAAUGGCAUAAACGCACAAGGACGAAGAGCAGAGCAGAGACAUCAGCAGAUAGGAGACUUCAACAAGCUCUUAGAAGACAGAUCACCACGACUCCAUCACAUGACUCAUUUAGGAAGGGCCUCAACACCUCAUUUUGGACCCAGGGUCUUGAUGGAAUGUCUGCCAUGAAGGGAUUAAUUCUGGGAAAUCGUCUACCGUUUUAAAAAGAGUUAGAGGGAGAGAUUGUCGCAAUUUCUGCCUCUGAACUAUAAGCCACAGCCGUAUCUUGGCCACGAAGGGAUCGACCCAGCGCAUCCUGGCAAACAAAUGGAUUUUUUUUUUUUAAACCUGGGUUCCGGAUGAUGUUAUUCACCCCUAAAUUAAUCCACCACAGAGCCACCGAACCCCAGGGCUUCCCACUCGGCACCUGCGUACAUCUAUUUGUUGUAGAACCACUUUCACUGAGCUUUCUUCACUUCGAGCAAAGCAUCCCCACGGAGAAAACAAGGCACAUGGUCACAAAACUCCACCACGCCAGGGACAAACUGAGAAGCCUUGAACUUCCAAGGAGGGAAAAGCCAGGGAAAACACAGAGCAUCAAGAACAAGAUUGAUAGCGGACAAGGACAGCCUUGGCUGCCAGAAGGACCAUGGAUGACCUCGAAGUGCUCAGAGAAAACCAUAUGCUCCUUCAAACUCGAUAAUCAGCCAAACGGCUGACCAAGCAUGAAAGCAGGGCGGCGACAUUGAGCCGACUGUCCCAGGGACCUGGACGAGACACACCUCCAGGGAGGCAGGGCGACUUUGACAGGACAAACCAGCAGGUCUCCAGCAUGACAAGCACAAGAAAAGGCCACACCGUGAGAGCAGACCAUUGGGGCUGGCCACCAAGAGCACCUGUCUUCUUUCUAACCAGAGAUGAUGGUGACGUGAACGCCACCCGGGCACCAAGCAAAGCCAGGCUCCUGCGACCCCUGCCUCCUGGUUCUUGAGGCCGCGCACCGGCGCCCCCCAGCCGCGCUCCCCAUCUGCCGCUGGCCCUUCCCAGAGCCCCGAGCGGUUCCCUCUGCGCCUCCCUCUGCACACCUCCCAUGAGCAGUCGGACCUUCUGUACGCUUCACCCACCCUGUGUGCUCCCAUGAGCCCCGCUUGGCAGUGGCAUCCCGGUUACAGAUCUGCAACCAGCCCCCCCCCAAAGGAGGAAAUCUGCAGCUGCUGUCUCGGGAGUGAUCCAGGUUCCAGCAAAAACCAGGCACCGAAGGAGAGAGAGAAGUGAGACCGAAACACCUCUGACUCAAACGCAGUUAAGCCUGGGACUUGAACCCAGUUUUUUAAAUGAGAAUCCCUCACUUGGUGUCUGGACUCACUGAGGCUCAGGAUCUUUGUGUCUCAGCACAGAAGGAAUUCGGCCAGAGACAAAGUGAUAGGCAAGAAAUAGAUUUAAUACAUCUAUGAAGAAAGGACACUUGUGAGAGAUGCAGGCGGGCAGGUGGGGAGGCUCUGCCCCGAGGAUCAGGUGGGCUACAGUUUUAUCAUCCAAGGGGAGUUGGCAGGGGUGGGUGGGGGGACCAACUUGUUUCUCAUUCUUCGAGUAGAAACAUGCUCACAUCUCUAGCUCCUCCUUCACAUCUGGCAAGAGAGCAUCUGACCCUGUGAGGUCAAAGGAGGCCUGUCGUGGUGCUUAUUCAAAUCAGUAGCAGUGGCAAUGACCUGAGGCAUAUCUCAUGCUUUUAGUUCUGGUUUUAUAGUUAAGCAAGGCUGCUUUGUUCCAUGAUGUUCUGAUGGCUUCUUGAGCCAUCGUGAACUUACGGUGAUCUUCCAAAGUCCCUAGGUUUGCCUCUCUAUCUCUGGUCGCCUACUGGGACUUCUGCAACUACCUGUGUAACUAUCCUACUCUAACUGUCCCUAUCAGAAGGGCAGCAGGGGAGAGAGAAGCAGAGCAGCACAAGUUCCAGCCUCUCCUGGGUGAUGAAUCAGAUCCCCCUGGACCACAAGAGCCCCUGCACUGGACCACAAGAAACCUCUCAGCUGUUCCCCGUGCAUGUGUCCUGGCUUCAGCCACACAAGUGUAGCUUUUAACUCUCUGGUACAAACAGCAUCUGUUUUCAGCCUUAUUUGGAGGCGGGGGAAGGGAGGGUUAUUUGAGGCAUCUUAUGUGAAGAAUUCACUGAACGGAAGGUUGUUCCUAUUUAAUUAGAACAAAUAAAAGCCAAAAUUUCUAUG
rnacentral:lncRNA from 1 species